UUCUGUGGCAAAGAGGUGCUUUAAAGAAGUAAACUUUGGAAACACAGCUGAUUCUUACUACUUUAGUCGCAGGCAAUGGCAAUAGAAGGGAUUUGAUUGGGAUGAGUGCUGAGAGUCCUUCUGCUGUGCUGUGUCAGCUACCCCACCAUAAACAAACAUGGGACAUUUCAUUUAAACUGAGAAGCUGAUAGCGUUGAACGCAUCUAUUUGUAUAAACUAGCUGGCUGUCCCUUUGCCAUCUCUAAUGUAAGUCUACUAAGGCAUUGUGAAACUUCAUUUAGUUUAAGCUUGCAGUACUAACUAGUGCAUAUAACACAAAAAGGGUCCUUUCUAACUUCCAUACCAUUUUUCUACUGAGUUAUUUGUUGGAAAGAUAUGUUCCUGUAUAAUUACAUGUGGUUUUCUUAAACCUUUGCAGUUGGUAGCUUAAUAUAUAUUUUGUUGUACUUUGAGUACAAAGGAUAUAUUAUGCUUUUGUUGGCAUCCUUACUGGACAGUGUGCCAACUGCAUAAUUUUGUUCUCUGCUAUAUGUCAGGAUUCGAGUGCCGAGGGCUCAACAGGUGGUGCUGGGAUAAAGUUCUGCCAAAUCAAAUAGCACAGUGCCAGUCUGCGCUGUUGUGAAAGACCUGUGAAUAAAUAUUCAUAGGGAUGAAUUCAGAGGUGAUGGGCAACACAGACUGAGGAAAAGGAGCCCAGAGUCUGUGUUGAGGUAAAUCAUGAAAAGAGGAAACAGAAGAGGAAAAGCAGCUAAGUGAAAGCACAUAACAAAGCUCAAUGUGAGUGUAAGUCUGUCCAGCCUCUGGAGCAGCCAGGAGAAAAGCUUUCAUGCCCCACAGCUGGGAGCUCACCCACAGACCUUCUUCUCUACAUACAGCAGCAAUGGGCCAGGCAACUUCAGUGGGCUUAUAUGUAUGCACAUACUUACCAUCCUGUAAUACCCAAACAUUAAGAAGACAGAUCUACAGCUGAUCCAUUUGAGGCAUGCAUGUAUUGGUUUGUAUUGCACUUACUGAGUAAACUUGAAAUGCAGAGGAGCCCAAAUCUCUAUUCUGGACAGUUUGAGGUUGUUUGGAUCUGACAUUUCUGUGUGUUCACUGACAGAAAUAAGCUCAUUAUGAAGUUGUGUUGGAAGAUGGAUGCCCUUUUUCCAAGUUUUGAGAAGUGUCUAGGCAGAGUAAUUGGACUGCAUUAGAUAAAUCGAGUGAAUGUGAAAAAUCUUCAUUAGAAGGGAAGAAAUACGUGGUUUUAAGUGCUAAGACACUUCCACAUAACAUUACGGUUUGCAUCUACACUCACAGUACGCAGAGAGAUUCAUGCAAAUGUCCAAAAAUUGAAAAGGCUUUAAAUGUAUUUUAUCUAAUUGUUUGUUGAACAGUAUUUACCUUUUGCCUUCCACAGGUUGUUUUGAAAUCUGAAUGUGUAAUAACAUCUCUGAA